UACGUAGGGUGCAAGCGUUAAUCGGAAUUACUGGGCGUAAAGCGUGCGCAGGCGGUUUGCUAAGACAAGUGUGAAAUCCCCGGGCUUAACCUGGGAACUGCGCUUGUUACUGGCAAGCUUGAGUGUGGCAGAGGGGGGUGGAAUUCCACGUGUAGCAGUGAAAUGCGUAGAGAUGUGGAGGAACACCGAUGGCGAAGGCAGCCCCCUGGGCUAACACUGACGCUCAUGCACGAAAGCGUGGGGAGCAAACAGG
rnacentral:rRNA from 1 species